rnacentral:rRNA from 1 species
UGGGGAAUAUUGGACAAUGGGGGAAACCCUGAUCCAGCGACGCCGCGUGUGUGAAGAAGGCCUGCGGGUUGUAAAGCACUUUCGGUGGGAACGAAAUGUGCCGGGCUAAUACCCCGGUAAGCUGACGUUACUCAAUGAAGAAGCACCGGCUAACUCUGUGCCAGCAGCCGCGGUAAUACAGAGGGUGCGAGCGUUAAUCGGAAUUACUGGGCGUAAAGCGCACGUAGGUGGCGACGUAAGUCGGGUGUGAAAUCCCCGGGCUCAACCUGGGAACCGCAUUCGAGACUGUGUUGCUGGAGUACGGAAGAGGAGGGCGGAAUUCCCGGUGUAGCGGUGAAAUGCGUAGAUAUCGGGAGAACAUCAGUGGCGAAGGCGGCCCUCUGGUCCAGUACUGACACUCAAGUGCGAAAGCGUGGGGAGCAAACAGGAUUAGAUACCCUUGUAGUCCCUGAGCGGGCUGGCAAGGCGCAU